UACGUAGGGUGCGAGCGUUAAUCGGAAUUACUGGGCGUAAAGCGUGCGUAGGCGGUUCGUUAAGUUCGUUGUGAAAGCCCCGGGCUCAACCUGGGAACUGCAAUGGAAACUGGCGGGCUUGAGUGUGGCAGAGGGGGGUGGAAUUCCGCGUGUAGCAGUGAAAUGCGUAGAGAUGUGGAGGAACACCGAUGGCGAAGGCAGCCCCCUGGGUCAACACUGACGCUCAUGCACGAAAGCGUGGGGAGCAAACAGG
rnacentral:rRNA from 1 species